AUUGAACGCUGGCGGCAGGCCUAACACAUGCAAGUCGAACGAGUGGCGGACGGGUGAGUAAUGUCUGGGAAACUGCCUGAUGGAGGGGGCUAACUCCUGGAAACGGUAGCUACUACCGCAUACCCUCGGAUGUGCCCAGAUGGGAUUAGCUAGUAGGGGGGGUACAGGCUCACCUAGGCGACGAUCCCUAGCUGGUCUGAGAGGAUGACCGGCCACACUGGAACUGAGACACGGUCCAGACUCCUACGGGAGGCAGCAGUGGGGAAUAUUGCACAAUGGGCGCAAGCCUGAGGCAGCCAGGCCGCGUGUAUGAAGAAGGUCUUCGGGUUGUAAAGUACUUUCAGCGGGGAGGCGUUACCCGCAGAAGAAGCACCGGCUAACUCCGUGCCAGCAGCCGCGGUAAUAC
rnacentral:rRNA from 1 species